rnacentral:rRNA from 1 species
AGGAAAAGAAACUAACAAGGAUUCCCCUAGUAACGGCGAGUGAAGAGGGAAGAGCCCAAGAUUGAAAGCUGGCGUCUUCGGCGUCCGCAUUGUAAUCUCAAGAAGUGUUUUCCGCUUCGGACCAUGCCUAAGUCCCUUGGAAAAGGGCAUCAUAGAGGGUGAUAAUCCCGUUCAUGGCAUGGAGCGCCCGAAGCUUUGUGAUACGCUUUCUAAGAGUCGAGUUGUUUGGGAAUGCAGCUCAAAAUGGGUGGUAAAUGCCAUCUAAGGCUAAAUAUUGGGGAGAGACCGAUAGCGAACAAGUACAGUGAUGGAAAGAUGAAAAGAACUUUGAAAAGAGAGUUAAACAGUACGUGAAAUUGCCAAAAGGGAAGGGUAGGAGGUCAGAGAUGCGUCUUGGAAUUCAGCCUUGCUUCUGCUUGGUGUUUUUUCCAUUUUGCAGGCCAACGUCGGUUUUGGGCACUGGAGAAGGGUGGAAGGAACGUGGCACCUCUCGGGGUGUGUUAUAGCCUUCUACUGGAUACAGCGACCGAGACCGAGGACAGCAGCGUACUCGCAAGAGCGGGCCUUCGGGCACCUUUACGCUUAGGGCGUUGGCAUAAUGGCCCUCUACCACCCGUCU